AUAUCAAUAAGCGGAGGAAAAGAAACUAACAAGGAUUCCCCUAGUAACGGCGAGUGAAGCGGGAACAGCUCAAAUUUGAAAUCUCACAAGGUCACUUGUGCGAAUUGUAGUUUAGAGAAACGUUUUCGGGGGCGGCGCGGGUAUAAGUCCUUUGGAAAGAGGCAUCAUAGAGGGUGAGAAUCCCGUUUAUGAUCCGCUGUCUGCUCCUAUGUGAUACGUUUUCCAAGAGUCAGGUAGUUUGGGAUUGCUGCCUAAAAUGGGUGGUAAAUACCAUCUAAAGCUAAAUAUUGGCGAGAGACCGAUAGCGAACAAGUACCGUGAGGGAAAGAUGAAAAGAACUUUGAAAAGAGAGUUAAACAGUACGUGAAAUUGCCAAAAGGGAAACGCUUGGAACCAGUAUUGCGCGCUGGUAAUCAGCUUCACGUCUCGAAAGGGAUCCGUGGGGUGCACUUGCUUGCGUGCGGGCCAACAUCAGUUUGAUUUGGGGUAAAAAGCCAGGGGAAGGUAGCUCGGGCUUCGGCUUGAGUGUUAUAGCCCUUGGUCAUGCCUUGGAUCGGACUGAGGACUGCAGUGUUACUUGGGUUCCCGGUCGCCUCCUGACACA
rnacentral:rRNA from 1 species